rnacentral:rRNA from 1 species
GAUGAACGCUGGCGGCGUGCCUAAUACAUGCAAGUCGAGCGAACGGACGAGAAGCUUGCUUCUCUGAUGUUAGCGGCGGACGGGUGAGUAACACGUGGAUAACCUACCUAUAAGACUGGGAUAACUUCGGGAAACCGGAGCUAAUACCGGAUAAUAUUUUGAACCGCAUGGUUCAAAAGUGAAAGACGGUCUUGCUGUCACUUAUAGAUGGAUCCGCGCUGCAUUAGCUAGUUGGUAAGGUAACGGCUUACCAAGGCAACGAUGCAUAGCCGACCUGAGAGGGUGAGCGGCCACACGGGAACUGAGACACGGUCCAGACUAAUACGGGAGGCAGCAGUAGGGAAUCUUCCGAAAUGGGCGAAAGCCUGAAGGAGCAACGCAGCGUGAGUGAUGAAGGUCGUCGGAUCGUAAAACUCUGUUAUUAGGGAAGAACAUAUGUGUAAGGAACUGUGCACAGCUUGACGGUACCUAAUCAGAAAGCCACGGCUAACUACGUG